UACGAAGGGGGCUAGCGUUGCUCGGAAUGACUGGGCGUAAAGGGCGCGUAGGCGGCUCAUGAAGGCUGUGGUGAAAGUCCGGGGCUCAACCUCGGAUCGGCCGUGGCGACUCGUGGGCUGGAGCACUGUAGAGGCGGGUGGAAUUCCGGGUGUAGCGGUGGAAUGCGUAGAUAUCGGGAGGAACACCUGUGGCGAAAGCGGCUCACUGGACCAUAACUGACGCUGAGGCGCGAAAGCUAGGGGAGCAAACAGG
rnacentral:rRNA from 1 species